rnacentral:rRNA from 1 species
GACGAACGCUGGCGGCGUGCUUAACACAUGCAAGUCGAACGGAAAGGCCCUGCUUUUGUGGGGUGCUCGAGUGGCGAACGGGUGAGUAACACGUGAGUAACCUGCCCUUGACUCUGGGAUAACUUCAGGAAACUGGGGCUAAUACCGGAUAGGAGCUCCUGCUGCAUGGUGGGGGUUGGAAAGUUUCGGCGGUUGGGGAUGGACUCGCGGCUUAUCAGCUUGUUGGUGGGGUAGUGGCUUACCAAGGCGUUGACGGGUAGCCGGCCUGAGAGGGUGACCGGCCACAUUGGGACUGAGAUACGGCCCAGACUCCUACGGGAGGCAGCAGUGGGGAAUAUUGCACAAUGGGCGGAAGCCUGAUGCAGCAACGCCGCGUGCGGGAUGACGGCCUUCGGGUUGUAAACCGCUUUCGCCUGUGACGAAGCGUGAGUGACGGUAAUGGGUAAAGAAGCACCGGCUAACUACGUG